rnacentral:ncRNA from 1 species
UAGAGCCACUAGGGGGGCAAUCUGCUGAGACAGGGAAUACUCCUUGGACCCUUAGCACCUGAUCUGGAUAAUACCAGCGUAGGAAAGUGGCAGAAGUCCGUC